AGUGAACUUCGUUUGUAGUGGAGCUCUUUUUGGGAGCGGCGGUUUUUAGACGCUUCCAAAAAAGCGGGAACGGAAAGCCCGACCCGAA
rnacentral:misc_RNA from 1 species